GAGCAUUACUGAAUUCCUAACCCUUUGCACUGAACUCUCCUCUCCUUGAGACAAACUCUGUUUUUGGAUAACUGGCUUUGUUCUUUGGUCUUUGUUCUUUCGCACAUGCCCUAAAAGUAUUGGAAGAUUUCAUUUAGAGGGUUUCACCAUCACUAGAUAAAUGCUCUUCAUGGGGAUUCUGCACUGGACUUCCUUUAUGACUAUGGCAGAUAUUUUGAUGACCCAUGAGGACAAAGUGCAAUCAGAAGUUCUGUUAAUGGAAAAUCCAAACAAGGUGAAAUUCCAGAAACUGAAAUCUUCUAAUACCUUUAGGGGAUAGGUGAAAGCACAACAGACCAAGAGAAACAGCCAAUCAUCUAAGAAUAGAGUUUGCAUCAAGGAAAGGAGACAUCAGAGCAAAGGUUUAUGAAUUCAGCAAUGCUUUGCUGGUUUUCUAGCAAUAAUCAAUGUUAAAUGACUGUAAUGGAAAAAUGGAGCAAGACAACUCUUUUCAAAAGUAAAUAAUGUGUCUGAAAGUUUUACAAUAAAUGACUUAGCAUGAUUUAUACUGCA
ensembl:lncRNA